GGUCAAACUUGUCUCAAAUUUAGCUUCCGAUUUAGCAAGUAAAGAUUUUUUAAAAUUUAGACGCAUUGGUUUCCUUCUCGUUUUGGUCGUUUUAAUCUAUUUGCAAUUGAAGUAUCUAAAAUACUAUGACCGCAGAUGAAAUCAUGCAACGUUAAAGUGCCUCUAAAAUCACAUUUCAGAACCGCAGUCUUAAUUCUAAACAUAGCAAAUGAAAUGAAGAAUUCAAACCAAACGUUAGAGUUUUGAUAUGAUCAAUGUAUCGCUUUCUUGCAAUUUUGCCAUAAGCCAGAAAUCCUUAAGUUCCCACUUUUGCCUUCGGUGAUGUGUAACAUUAGCGGCACUGUGGCCCUUGAGGGGCUCUGCAUUUAUAAAGAAACUAUAAAAACACUGUCUGGUAAAUACGCAAAUUUUGGUGCCCCUUCCUUUUUACAUUUACCUCGUUUUCAUUUUCUCUUCCAUACCCAGCUCAACAGUGUCCUGUCUCUUGUUCUACAGCAUUUAUACAUUUGGUUACUCUCACUCUAAAUUUUUGGGCGUUCAGUUGGCAAUUGGCAUGUGUCUGUCAGUGUUGCAAGGUUCGUUGCUAUCGCUAGUGUCCCCAAUUUUUUAUUGCGACUUCAACAAAGCAUUGUGAAACGCAAAACACACUCAACAGGGUUUUUCGCGACUUUCUUGCCACGGGAGGAGACUCACGCGAGGAAUGGACGACGAGUCGCAAUCCACGAUUUUAUUUCUAAAUGAAUAAUUUUGUUAGUCGAUUUUGCACAAAAUGCUUAAAUUCCAACACUUACACGAUGGAUUCUAAUCUGAAGACCAACGGCUGCGUGUACAGAACGAAGCUGUUGUCACAGAUGAGCCGUGCAAAACUGAUUUUUCUUAUUUCAUUGAGUUGUUCUGCAGUAAUAAACAAUGAAAUAACUUGAAUAUUGAAUUUUUCCAAAACUGUUAAUGCAUACCUUCAGUAAAAGAGCCUGGCUGUCCCCCAAGGUCGUAGAAGAAGCGAUCACCACGUUUUAGCCUCAAGAAUUGGUCGGCUACGAUGCACUGGAACGUGGGGCCUAGCAAUGCACCUUCAGCUUUAUCUUCUGACACUCCACCGAUGUAGAGGUCGAUAUCGUCCACCGAGUCGUACAACAAUUCAAAGCGCUCAACAAUCUAAGAAAACAGAAUAUUUUCAAUUUGUUUUUUUGCUUAAAUUCUAGGUCGAUGGGAAUACCGCAGGAGAAAUUAAAUCGAGAAGAUCGUUGAAAUUCUUCGCGCGUUGUAGGCCACAAAUCGUACGAAAAGCAUUAUAGCCAGAUUGAGAGACACCAAGUCCAAACCGAAGCCUUUGCCUUCUUCUUCGAACAAGUGAUGCGUAAUCUUAAACAGGAAUAGCGAACCCGUUAAUAACAGCCAAACAGGUGGAGCCUUACUCUUGCUUUCCUUGGAUAAGGGUGUGGCCGAAUCGGAACGCGGCGGAUGCAAAUUCGUUCAAGACGCCAGGAUUCAAGUUUUUAUAGUACUCUUCGCUGAACCCGUGUUGCAGAGGCAAUAGACCUAGUUCUUGCAUUUUCGUCCGGCCAAUAACAAUAGGUAGCCAUUCGUUGUAGGUGAUGUGCUGCAUUUGAGCAAUCAGGAUGCGCCUUGAUUCCUGAAAGAGCCGCUCAUCAUCCCACGAUGGAUUCAAAUAGGCAAGUUCAGCCGCAAGUCUGUUGUGUUCACGCAGGAAGACUGUAUGCGUCACAGCCAAAUUAGGACUUUGAUUCGAUCGUGUAUCACCUGCCCGCAUCUCACGUCAUCAGGCGGGUCUAAACCAGACACGUCUUUGGAUAACGUACAAUUCGUAUCGGCCGAGUCGUCCGAUGGCAAUAAAUCCAAGCCUUGAUGACCUUUCUGUGGAGUUGACUUCAACGUGCCGUUUUGGAACGUUCGAACCGCAGCGGACUGUUUCUCAUCCGAGCCGUAAACAUUCGAUUGAUCUAAAAAAAGUAAUGAUUCCGAUCAAUUUUACCUGCUCACCGUGACCUAGUCUACAAUCCGAUCUGGGUGCUGGAAUGGAACGGACGAAGCUCAUGCAAUGCUGGCUGAAUUUGGAGUAAAAUGGAUCAUCUUCUGGGAUUUCAAUCGCACUGGAUGCUCAUCGAAUUAUCUAACGACGAAAAUGUUGGUUUACAUCAAACAAUUUUCCAUCCUACUGAAAAUGAAAUACUCAUGCGGAAAAAUGAGGUGAACGCCAAGUCGUGUGCGAGAAAUUGUCCAUAUUGCAUAACCCAAGUGGUUUCAGCUUCACUGGGAGUGUUUUUAUCCAAAACCACAGAAAUAGAUACCAAACGGGGACUGCAAUAGAAAUAAGGAACAUCAUUAAUACCAUUAAUUAACGAAAUUACAACGGGAUCAUGGUUUUGUAGAAGUUUUAAUUUUCAAGAACCCGGAAGUGAUUAAACUGUGCGGUUUCCAAUGUCUUACCUAGGGAGUUCGCUGCCGUUUUGAGCCCGUCGCGGUAGCCACACACCUUUUCAAUUAAUUUGUUUUGUUUUUAUUUAUUUACCUGUAUAUUUAAUAAUAAAUUCUGGAUUUUCCACAGAGUCUUUACCAUCCGCGUAAGCUGGGACUAAGAUGCGCUGAUAUUGGGUCCGUGACUUGCCCCAGGACGCGUGUUUAAUGUUAUUACACGAUCCAUCCAACGUGCGGAAAGGAGAAUGGAUGGUUGUCUCGUCACACAUCGAUUCGGGGUAACACGUAUCUGAUAAUAUCGUAUCUUUUAAAUGGAAUUGUGUCAGUCCAAAGCCAGCCUCGUCUGGAGUCAAUUGAAAUCUAUGAAAUUCAAAUUCGAAUAUUAUUGUUUUUCUUUGACUGUAAUUCACCUGGACAACAUCAUUACCUUUUCCCGAGUUCUCUAGUGGUCUCAAUGCUGGUCAAAGCACCACGACAGAACUCUUGUGAUUCGGUUUUUGAUUGGAAGAACAGCGAAUGCGUGUACUGGGAAGACUUGGGUCGCACCGUCACUUUGCUAGCGGUGAGGUGUUUCUCUAUCUCAUCCAUUAACCUCAACUGAAAUCGACCUGCGUGGGCAGCUGCGUUCACCGAGUAAAUAUCGAUACACUGGUGCUCGCACUUGACGUUUUUCUUGGUUUUCUUGAUAGGCUCGCCAUUUCCUGUAGAACAAAAAAGGAUAUAGCAACAACAACUUAACACAAAUGCCAAAGAGUUUGCACACCGUUGUAAGGAAUAUCAGGACAGCAGAUGCCUGGAUCUCCAUCCUCCAUGGUGCAAGCAGAUCCUGGAGUACUAAGAGCCACUUCGUACCACACCGAGCAAUCUAUAGCUGGGCGACAUUGUGAAUGAUACCCUCCGACUUUCGGACAAUAGUAAGAAUACUUCCCGCCGUAUUUCUUUGGACCUUCAGGAGAAGCUGCUCCACUAGGUUCAAGGAAAGGCGUUGUCGAAUAAACCGGUACGGGAGCUUCAGUGCCUUCCGGUGCAUGUGUUGAUUCUUGCUGGACGUCAGGAGUUUUUGAACGGUCACUGGAUUUGGUUGGCUCUGUUUCGAAUCCUGUUUGGUAUUGCGGAUUGAAUGGCAGUUGAAACUCAAAGCCCAGUCCUGAAGGAUCGUAUUUAACUAUGCUUUCUUCGAAUCCUGGGAAAUCCACAUGGCUUGGAUUCCGAUUUAACAAGGCUGGUCGGCGGAUGGAAUAUUGACGUCUCAUUUUCUUGCCGGACCCUUUUGGCCUUUCAGCACCGUUAGCGAUCACUGCGUGUAGUAAAACCAACACGACAACCCCAACUGUCCAGUGCGACAUCUUCACUUCUAGUAUGUGUCGAAAAUGAGCGGGAAAAAAAGAAUGGUAGUUAAGUAAAUGUACUUGAAUUUGUGCUUGCGUGUGAACAAUUUUCGUUGAACCACUGAGUUCACUUUUACACUGAAUUAUUUGAAUAUUUUUAAUGCUGUCAUUAUAGAGUAACAGUAUUUAAAUCCCCUACUGACCUAAGUGAGGACUUUCUGUUGGUCAAUCUAUCGAGCGAAACUCUUAAGAUGUUACAGUUUUGACGACGCCUGAUCAAGUGAGCCCUGCCGUGGUCCCGCUUCCUCCUCUUGUAUUUAUAUACGGUCACACGGGAAAGUUUUUCCCGAACGCGAGCACGUCUCGCAAAAUGAAAACACUGUACUGAGAAGAAGCUAUUCAAAGUGUGGAAUUGUGCUUAGUCAGUGCCGGAUUCAAAUCGUGCCGCCAAACUUUCGCAUUGGACUUUGCAAUCGAUGAUCAAAAGACUACCAACGCAUUGAAUAAUAAUCUACACGAAUCGAGAAAAUUGACUACAGUGACAUCGUACGGAAUUCAGGUUUAUCAGUAUUACUCAACACCAAGAACGGUUCGUCUUCAUUCCCAGACUCUCUACAGGGAAGAAAUUUAGAUACGGUAAAUUUCUGUCGAUGAAAGUUUAGGAAAAUUGUAGAACGAGGAGGCCUAAGUCGUAAAAGAAAUAUGCGGAAACCGAGUCAUACUAACGAAUUUUCCAACAACUGUUUCUAUUUUAACUGUAAAAAAAAAACUGGAUGCUAAUUUAGCAAAUGUUUUCCCAUGUCUCGGUUUUGCCUCGAUAAAGGAAAUUGAAAAAAAAAAAAAAAACGUUCACCACAAUUUGUAUCAAUUUACUGCAACAGAAAAUUCUUUAAGAACUAGGUUAAUAGUCUUGGAAUAUAGAACCAAAAAAAUCACUGUACAAUACAACCUAAUUUCUUUUGUACGCCAAUGAGCCAAACGUUCUGCACACUUGGUAACCGAGUCUUGUAUAACGUGGAAGAUUCGGCCUUACAUUGCUCAAUUUAGCCAGUCAAGAAUUUUCAUCUUUCUCUAACGAUUGUCUGGCGGUCUGUUAAAAGCGCGUUUUAAAAAUGAUAUUGUUACUCGGAGAAAGAAAACAUGCAACCACUUUCCAUGCUAUAGAAAUCAGUCAUUGUUUAGUGGUGUAUACAGGCUAUUUGAUUUGCUUUUAUUGUGUUUAGAAAGUGCUACAUUUAGAAUUCGCCUACUAUAUUGCCCUCUUCAUCCUACACCUCACAACGUUAAAUCUGGAUUGCAAUAAUUUUC